rnacentral:rRNA from 1 species
GAUGAACGCUGGCGGCGUGCCUAAUACAUGCAAGUCGAGCGAACGGACGAGAAGCUUGCUUCUCUGAUGUUAGCGGCGGACGGGUGAGUAACACGUGGAUAACCUACCUAUAAGACUGGGAUAACUUCGGGAAACCGGAGCUAAUACCGGAUAAUAUUUUGAACCGCAUGGUUCAAAAGUGAAAGACGGUCUUGCUGUCACUUAUAGAUGGAUCCGCGCUGCAUUAGCUAGUUGGUAAGGUAACGGCUUACCAAGGCAACGAUGCAUAGCCGACCUGAGAGGGUGAUCGGCCACACUGGAACUGAGACACGGUCCAGACUCCUACGGGAGGAAGCAGUAGGGAAUCUUCCGCCAUGGGCGAAAGCCUGACGGAGCAACGCCGCGUGAGUGAUGAAGGUCUUCGGAUCGUAAAACUCUGUUAUUAGGGAAGAACAUAUGUGUAAGUAACUGUGCACAUCUUGACGGUACCUAAUCAGAAAGCCACGGCUAACUACGUG